GAUGAACGCUGGCGGCGUGUUUAACACAUGCAAGUCGAACGGAAAGGCUCCUGCUUGCAGGGGUACUCGAGUGGCGAACGGGUGAGUAACACGUGGGUGAUCUGCCCUGCACUUCGGGAUAAGCCUGGGAAACUGGGUCUAAUACCGGAUAGGACCACAUUUUGGAUGGUGUGGUGGAAAGUUUUUCGGUGUGGGAUGAGCUCGCGGCCUAUCAGCUUGUUGGUGGGGUAAUGGCCUACCAAGGCGUCGACGGGUAGCCGGCCUGAGAGGGUGUACGGCCACAUUGGGACUGAGAUACGGCCCAGACUCCUACGGGAGGCAGCAGUGGGGAAUAUUGCACAAUGGGCGCAAGCCUGAUGCAGCGACGCCGCGUGGGGGAUGACGGCCUUCGGGUUGUAAACUCCUUUCGCUAGGGACGAAGCGCAAGUGACGGUACCUGGAGAAGAAGCACCGGCUAACUACGUG
rnacentral:rRNA from 1 species